GAUCCACUUAUACCCUAUGAGUUUUAUCCCUUCAGGUGGGUCAACUAAUAUCCAUACAUCAUUGAUAUUCAUGGGCUCCAUUUUGGACUUCAUGGCUUCAAGCUAUUUAUCAGAGUCAGACCUCUACAUUGCAUCUAUAUAGGUGAUCGGAUCCUCAAUAUUUUCAUUAUGUUCAACAGGAUCCCUAUUUCGGAUCAAGAAACUGAAG
rnacentral:lncRNA from 1 species